rnacentral:rRNA from 1 species
UACGUAGGGUGCGAGCGUUAAUCGGAAUUACUGGGCGUAAAGAGCGCGCAGGCGGUCAGAUAAGUCGAAUGUGAAAGCCCCCGGCUCAACUGGGGAGGGUCAUUCGAUACUGUUCGACUCGAAGGCAGGAGAGGGAAGUGGAAUUCCCGGUGUAGUGGUGAAAUGCGUAGAUAUCGGGAGGAACACCAGAGGCGAAGGCGGCGACCUGGACAGGCACUGACACUCAACUACGAAAGCGUGGGGAGCAAACAGG